UACGUAGGGGUCGAGCGUUGUCCGGAUUUACUGGGCGUAAAGCGUGCGCAGGCGGCUCUCUGCGCCCGGCGUGAAAGCCCCCGGCUCAACCGGGGAGGGUCGUCGGGGACGGGAGAGCUUGAGGGUAUCAGGGGCUGGUGGAAUUCCCGGUGUAGUGGUGAAAUGCGUAGAGAUCGGGAGGAACACCCGUGGCGAAGGCGGCCAGCUGGGAUACACCUGACGCUGAGGCACGAAGGCGUGGGGAGCGAACGGG
rnacentral:rRNA from 1 species